GCAAGAAUGAGUUCAAAAUGGAUCAUGAAUCUAAACAUAAGAGCUAAAACCAUAAAAAUCGCAGAUGAAAACACAAUAGUUAAUUUCUGUGAACUUAGAUUAGACAAUGAUUUCUUAGACACAACACCAAAAGCAAAAGCAACUGAAUUAAAAGUGAAAAGAUGGGCCAUGUGUGGUGGCUCAUGCCUGUAAUCCCAGAACUU